rnacentral:misc_RNA from 1 species
AACGCACCUUGCGCCCCUUGGCAUUCCGAGGGGCACACCCGUUUGAGUGUCGUGAAAUCCUCAAAAUCCUCUUCUUUGAUCGGAACAGGACUUUUGGACUUGGAGGUUCAAUGCUCGCUUUCACCUUUGAAAGCGAGCUCCUCUCAAAUGAAUUAGUGGGGUCCGCUUUGCUGGUCCUUGACGUGAUAAGAUGUUUCUACGUUUUGGAUUUGGCACUGUUUUCUCCGCUCCUAACCGUCUCGUGGACAACGAUGGUGCUCCGGUCGCCGCCGUCUGUGGCGGGAGGCUGGACCCACAAAAAACCUUGACCUCAAAUCGGGUGAGACUACCCGCUGAACUUAA